rnacentral:rRNA from 1 species
UGCUAAUCUGCGAUAAGCGUCGGUGAGGUGAUAUGAACCGUUAUAACCGGCGAUUUCCGAAUGGGGAAACCCAGUGUGUUUCGACACACUAUCAUUAACUGAAUCCAUAGGUUAAUGAGGCGAACCGGGGGAACUGAAACAUCUAAGUACCCCGAGGAAAAGAAAUCAACCGAGAUUCCCCCAGUAGCGGCGAGCGAACGGGGAGGAGCCCAGAGCCUGAAUCAGUGUGUGUGUUAGUGGAAGCGUCUGGAAAGGCGCGCGAUACAGGGUGACAGCCCCGUACACAAAAAUGCACAUAUUGUGAGCUCGAUGAGUAGGGCGGGACACGUGGUAUCCUGUCUGAAUAUGGGGGGACCAUCCUCCAAGGCUAAAUACUCCUGACUGACCGAUAGUGAACCAGUACCGUGAGGGAAAGGCGAAAAGAACCCCGGCGAGGGGAGUGAAAAAGAACCUGAAACCGUGUACGUACAAGCAGUGGGAGCCUCUUAAUGGGGUGACUGCGUACCUUUUGUAUAAUGGGUCAGCGACUUAUAUUCUGUAGCAAGGUUAACCGAAUAGGGGAGCCGAAGGGAAACCGAGUCUUAACUGGGCGUUAAGUUGCAGGGUAUAGACCCGAAACCCGGUGAUCUAGCCAUGGGCAGGUUGAAGGUUGGGUAACACUAACUGGAGGACCGAACCGACUAAUGUUGAAAAAUUAGCGGAUGACUUGUGGCUGGGGGUGAAAGGCCAAUCAAACCGGGAGAUAGCUGGUUCUCCCCGAAAGCUAUUUAGGUAGCGCCUCGUGAAUUCAUCUCCGGGGGUAGAGCACUGUUUCGGCAAGGGGGUCAUCCCGACUUACCAACCCGAUGCAAACUGCGAAUACCGGAGAAUGUUAUCACGGGAGACACACGGCGGGUGCUAACGUCCGUCGUGAAGAGGGAAACAACCCAGACCGCCAGCUAAGGUCCCAAAGUCAUGGUUAAGUGGGAAACGAUGUGGGAAGGCCCAGACAGCCAGGAUGUUGGCUUAGAAGCAGCCAUCAUUUAAAGAAAGCGUAAUAGCUCACUGGUCGAGUCGGCCUGCGCGGAAGAUGUAACGGGGCUAAACCAUG